GCUUAGCCAUAAAAUAUAUAUUUACACCUAAAACGCCAGAGNAAUUACGAGCACAAGCUUAAAACUCAAAGGACUUGACGGUGUCCCAUCUGCCUAGAGGAGCCUGUUCUAUAAUCGAUACUCCCCGAUUUACCUCACCACUUUUAGCCAAUCAGCCUGUAUACUUCCGUCGUAAGCUUACCAUAUGAAUGCUAGUGAGCAAAAUGAUUAAUAUACCCACACGUCAGGUCAAAGUGCAGCCGACAAAGUGGCAAGAAAUGGGCUACAAUUUCUAACUUUAGAACAUACGAAAAACCACAUGAAAACUGGUCACGAAGGCGGAUUUAGCAGUAAGGGGAAAAUAGAGUGUNCCCCUUAAAUAUGCCCUGGGACGUGUACACACCGCCCGUCACCCUCUUCUAAUUAUCUUUACAUGUUAAUUAACACAACUUAUUUUAUAAGAAGAGGCAAGUCGUAACAUGGUAAGCAUACUGGAAAGUGUGCUUGGACAC
rnacentral:rRNA from 1 species